rnacentral:rRNA from 1 species
UACGUAGGUGGCAAGCGUUGUCCGGAAUUAUUGGGCGUAAAGCGCGCGCAGGCGGUCCUUUAAGUCUGAUGUGAAAUCCCGUGGCUUAACCACGGGCGGUCAUUGGAAACUGGGGGACUUGAGUGCAGAAGAGAAGGGCGGAAUUCCACGUGUAGCGGUGAAAUGCGUAGAGAUGUGGAGGAACACCAGUGGCGAAGGCGGCUCUUUGGUCUGUAACUGACGCUGAGGCGCGAAAGCGUGGGGAGCGAACAGG